rnacentral:rRNA from 1 species
CCUACGGGAGGCAGCAGUGAGGAAUAUUGGUCAAUGGGCGCGAGCCUGAACCAGCCAAGUAGCGUGAAGGAUGACUGCCCUACGGGUUGUAAACUUCUUUUAUAAAGGAAUAAAGUGAGGCACGUGUGCCUGUUUGUAUGUACUUUAUGAAUAAGGCUCGGCUAACUCCGUGCCAGCAGCCGCGGUAAUACGGAGGAUCCGAGCGUUAUCCGGAUUUAUUGGGUGUAAAGGGAGCGUAGAUGGGUUGUUAAGUCAGUUGUGAAAGUUUGCGGCUCAACCGGAAAAUUGCAAUUGAUACUGGGAGUCUUGAGUACAGGUGAGGGAGGCGGAAUUCGUGGUGUAGCGGUGAAAUGCGUAGAUAUCACGAAGAACUCCGAUGGCGAAGGCAGCUUACUAAACUGCCACUGACAUUGAUGCUCGAAAGUGUGGGUAGCAAACAGGAUUAGAUACCCCUGUAGUC